UCUCCACUUACUUCCUUGGUUGGCAAUACCAGCAGGCUCCUCUACCCUCCUGGGUCAUCCAGACAUGAACAACUGAAGACUAUGGGAAAGCCACCUGGCUGUUGGUGACAGCCAGGAUGAAGAAACAGGCUACCUUUUAGCUGAUCCUGCCCUGUCAAAAAUGGCAGAGAAGCAGCAAGUUCGACAUUUGUUGGUUCAUGUCAAAGGUGACUCCAUCUCUGAAGCUGGCAGUCUUCACUCCAGAAACUCAGGAGCCCCAGUAUCCAUCAUGAUACCAACCCCCUCUGAACUUGGAGAACGAUGAGCAAUGGAAAAAGAUGGCUGAGUGGAGCGGCGCGCCUGGCAGAGAGAUUGGAACCAGAGAUGCAGCAGCAGCUCCAGGUGUGGGACCCUGGCUGCCGCAGACACAGGACUAUGUUUUCAGCCCGCCAGGAGGCCCGGCCACCAUGCUUCUGUGAGAAUACAGGCAACACAAACUGGACCUGGUGUAUUUUUUUUCUUCCUGUUUUUGGGGAGAUUGCAAGAAUGGGAGAGUGUACCUGGGAGGAAAAGGAAGUGAGUGUGAUCAGGAUGAGUUGUAUGGAAUUCCCAAACAAUUAAUAAAAAUAUCACAUUGUCUAAAAAAACCUCAACUAUACAAUUUGAUGAUUCUCAGUAAGGUCAUAUAGCUACACAGCCAUCACAACACGUUGAUUCUACCUGAGUCCUAACAUCCCUACAAGAAGUACCAUGUCCGUUCACAGUCUCACCUGCAUCAGCCUCUAGUGCACCUGUUGUGUAGCUGUGUGUAUUCCAGAUAUAUAUCUCCUACCAGGGAAUCAUGUAACAUAAUUCUCUAGCUAUGGUGUCUUCUACAUGUGUGUUGUAGAUAUGCUGCUACCCCAUUCCUUGCUCUGGUCACACAAUGUUUAUUGCAGUGUUUCGACUUUACACAUUUGCUUAUCCACCCGUCACCUGAUGGGCAUGGAGGUUGCUCCACAUUCUGCUUGUUGUGAACGAUGCUGCUGUGAACACUCAUGGACAGCAAUUUUUAAUCAGAAGUCUUCAUCAGAAACUGCACCUGACACCUUCACCGUGUCUGUCUGACACUUGCCUAUAAAGAUCUUGAAUCUCCCAUUGAGUCCCACCAUUUGACUCUCUUUCUCAGUAUCGUUGUCCAGUGAUUUCAUCUCUCAUUCUUUUGCAACGGAACCAACCUGCC